rnacentral:rRNA from 1 species
UUCUCGAGUGCUUGUCGUAGAUGACGUUGAGCYUCACGGCCUUUGUUGUUUGCGUUAUGGUGCUUUUGAGGUGUACUUUUCCGUAAGUAGGUCAACAUCGAUUUUGGUCGUCAUAAAAUGAUCGGAGGAAUGUGGCUCUGAUUUCGGUUGGAGUGUUAUAGCCUUUGAUAGAUGUGACGAUUGGGAUCGAGGAUUGCAACGAAUACCCUUUGGGCUAUCCGUCUGACCUCUGAAAGUCGCUCGGGUGUUGAAAGCUUGCUUAUAACAUUCUAGUUGGCGGUCAAAAGGUUAGAACGUGAUUACA